AUGCUUCAGGGUUUAGGGUUCCUUAAGGCACUGUGGCAUCUUUUCUCAUAUAUGGAAAACACAGAACAGCACAACAUAGCAGCUUUUCAUGACUGCAACUGCUUUCUGGGUAACAUAGAACUUAGACCUCAAUGAGAGAAAUUAGUGAAUGCUGUGACUGAAGGACUCGACUAUCA
rnacentral:lncRNA from 12 species